CAAGUCGAGCGGAAACGAGUUAUCUGAACCUUCGGGGGACGAUAACGGCGUCGAGCGGCGGACGGGUGAGUAAUGCCUAGGAAAUUGCCCUGAUGUGGGGGAUAACCAUUGGAAACGAUGGCUAAUACCGCAUAAUGCCUACGGGCCAAAGAGGGGGACCUUCGGGCCUCUCGCGUCAGGAUAUGCCUAGGUGGGAUUAGCUAGUUGGUGAGGUAAUGGCUCACCAAGGCGACGAUCCCUAGCUGGUCUGAGAGGAUGAUCAGCCACACUGGAACUGAGACACGGUCCAGACUCCUACGGGAGGCAGCAGUGGGGAAUAUUGCACAAUGGGCGCAAGCCUGAUGCAGCCAUGCCGCGUGUGUGAAGAAGGCCUUCGGGUUGUAAAGCACUUUCAGUCGUGAGGAAGGUGGUGUUGUUAAUAGCUGCAUUAUUUGACGUUAGCGACAGAAGAAGCACCGGCUAACUCCGUGCCAGCAGCCGCGGUAAUACGGAGGGUGCGAGCGUUAAUCGGAAUUACUGGGCGUAAAGCGCAUGCAGGUGGUUUGUUAAGUCAGAUGUGAAAGCCCGGGGCUCAACCUCGGAAUAGCAUUUGAAACUGGCAGACUAGAGUACUGUAGAGGGGGGUAGAAUUUCAGGUGUAGCGGUGAAAUGCGUAGAGAUCUGAAGGAAUACCGGUGGCGAAGGCGGCCCCCUGGACAGAUACUGACACUCAGAUGCGAAAGCGUGGGGAGCAAACAGGAUUAGAUACCCUGGUAGUCCACGCCGUAAACGAUGUCUACUUGGAGGUUGUGGCCUUGAGCCGUGGCUUUCGGAGCUAACGCGUUAAGUAGACCGCCUGGGGAGUACGGUCGCAAGAUUAAAACUCAAAUGAAUUGACGGGGGCCCGCACAAGCGGUGGAGCAUGUGGUUUAAUUCGAUGCAACGCGAAGAACCUUACCUACUCUUGACAUCCAGAGAACUUUCCAGAGAUGGAUUGGUGCCUUCGGGAACUCUGAGACAGGUGCUGCAUGGCUGUCGUCAGCUCGUGUUGUGAAAUGUUGGGUUAAGUCCCGCAACGAGCGCAACCCUUAUCCUUGUUUGCCAGCGAGUAAUGUCGGGAACUCCAGGGAGACUGCCGGUGAUAAACCGGAGGAAGGUGGGGACGACGUCAAGUCAUCAUGGCCCUUACGAGUAGGGCUACACACGUGCUACAAUGGCGCAUACAGAGGGCAGCAAGCUAGCGAUAGUGAGCGAAUCCCAAAAAGUGCGUCGUAGUCCGGAUUGGAGUCUGCAACUCGACUCCAUGAAGUCGGAAUCGCUAGUAAUCGUGGAUCAGAAUGCCACGGUGAAUACGUUCCCGGGCCUUGUACACACCGCCCGUCACACCAUGGGAGUGGGCUGCAAAAGAAGUAGGUAGUUUAACCUUCGGGAGGACGCUUA
rnacentral:rRNA from 1 species